rfam:Canis lupus familiaris chromosome 16, whole genome shotgun sequence.
UGGAGGAACAAUCGCAGUGGCGGGGCCAGCUCUGGAGCCCUGGAGUCAGCCCUCGCAGUAGCUCCGGCAGGAACUCCGUCUGCAGGGCCUGGAGGCUCCGGGGCGGG